CCCCCUUUUUUUUUUUGAAAGUUGUAUACAAGCUGAAGACUUUUUCUGUAUUUUAUUUUACUAUUUGAGAAUGGAUAGAAGUUUAUACAUGCUCCCAGAAUACACAAGGGAUAUAUAAUAUUCUCAGAAAAUUAAUGGACAAUGAAUUUGAGAGCAGGUCAUGUGUUUUCCUGCCUGAUCCAGCCUCUGGAAUAACAAACAAAACAAAUCACCAAGGACUCCAUGCAUCUUAUUACCAAGGAAAAAAAGAAGGAAAUUAUGUAAGCCAGCCUAUAUCAGGUUUGUUGUGGUUUUUUUAUUUUAGUUGGGUCCCCAACCCAACUGUUGUACAUUAAGAGAAAUUGGGUGUUUCUCUAAGAGUACUUCUGAAAUUCUUUCUAGACAUCCUUUUUCUCAAAUGAAUGACUUACUUGAACCUCCUCAAUUUGCAGUGAUGCACAAAGCUACUUCUCCUCGUCCUCCUCCUCCCAGCCCAGAGGAUGUGCCCUGCAUAUGGAGAGGAACUAGAGCCUUGGAAACUUCCUUGUGUGGGCUGCAGCUGAGAGUUGUUUUUCAAAUUUAAAACAUUUUUGAAGUUCAGCAGUUUAUGUGGAGUCCCCAUGGCUGCUGCCUCUCCACCAGUUCAGUCUCUGCUCCCUGUAUGGCAAGUGCACU